rnacentral:rRNA from 1 species
UACGAGGGGUGCAAGCGUUGCUCGGAAUUAUUGGGCGUAAAGGGUAGGUAGGUGGUCUUAUUUGUCAGGGGUGAAAGCCUUGGGCUUAACCCGAGAAGUGCCCCUGAAACGGUAAGACUAGAGUCUUGGAGAGGUGAGUGGAAUUCCCGGUGUAGCGGUGAAAUGCGUAGAGAUCGGGAGGAACACCAGAGGCGAAGGCGGCUCACUGGACAAGCACUGACACUCAACUACGAAAGCGUGGGGAGCAAACAGG